UACGUAGGGUCCGAGCGUUGUCCGGAAUUACUGGGCGUAAAGAGCUCGUAGGUGGUUUGUCGCGUUGUUCGUGAAAACUCACAGCUCAACUGUGGGCGUGCGGGCGAUACGGGCAGACUAGAGUACUGCAGGGGAGACUGGAAUUCCUGGUGUAGCGGUGAAAUGCGCAGAUAUCAGGAGGAACACCGGUGGCGAAGGCGGGUCUCUGGGCCGAAAUUGACGCUGAGGAGCGAAAGCGUGGGGAGCAAACAGG
rnacentral:rRNA from 1 species